rnacentral:rRNA from 1 species
UACGUAGGAGGCGAGCGUUAUCCGGAUUCACUGGGCGUAAAGCGGGCGUAGGCGGCCUGUUAAGUCCGAUGUGAAAUCUCCCGGCUCAACUGGGAGGGUGCAUCGGAUACUGGCGGGCUGGAGUGCAGCAGAGGGAGAUGGAAUUCCCGGUGUAGUGGUGAAAUGCGUAGAUAUCGGGAAGAACACUAGUGGCGAAGGCGGUCUCCUGGGAUGUAACUGACGCUGAGGUCCGAAGGCGCGGGGAGCAAACAGG